UACGAAGGGGUCUAGCGUUGCUCGGAAUCACUGGGCGUAAAGCGCACGUAGGCGGCUUUCUAAGUCAGGGGUGAAAUCCUGGAGCUCAACUCCAGAACUGCCUUUGAUACUGGAGAGCUUGAGUCCGGAAGAGGUGAGUGGAACUCCGAGUGUAGAGGUGAAAUUCGUAGAUAUUCGGAAGAACACCAGUGGCGAAGGCGGCUCACUGGUCCGGUACUGACGCUGAGGUGCGAAAGCGUGGGGAGCAAACAGG
rnacentral:rRNA from 1 species